UCGGGAAUUUUGGGCAAUGGGCGAAAGCCUGACCCAGCAACGCCGCGUGAAGGAUGAAGUAUUUCGGUAUGUAAACUUCGUAAGAAUAGGAAGAAUAAAUGACGGUACUAUUUGUAAGGUCCGGCUAACUACGUGCCAGCAGCCGCGGUAAUACGUAGGGACCAAGCGUUGUUCGGAUUUACUGGGCGUAAAGGGCGCGUAGGCGGCGUGGUAAGUCAUCUGUGAAAUCUCCGAGCUUAACUCGGAACGGUCAGAUGAUACUGCUGUGCUAGAGUACAGAAAGGGCAAUCGGAAUUCUUGGUGUAGCGGUGAAAUGCGUAGAUAUCAAGAGGAACACCUGAGGCGAAGGCGGGUUGCUAGGCUGAUACUGACGCUGAGGCGCGAAAGCUAGGGUAGCAAACGGGAUUAGAUACCCCGGGUAAUCCCUGAGCGGGCUGGCAAGGCGCAU
rnacentral:rRNA from 1 species